rnacentral:rRNA from 1 species
AUUGAACGCUGGCGGCAUGCUUUACACAUGCAAGUCGAACGGUAACGGGCCGCAAGGUGCUGACGAGGGGCGAACGGGUGAGUAAUGCAACGGAACGUGCCCAGGCGUGGGGGAUAACGCAGGGAAAGCCGCGCUAAUACCGCAUACGAUCUAUGGAUGAAAUCGGGGGAUCGUAAGGCCUUGCGCGAUUGGAGCGGCCGAUGUGAGAUUAGGUAGUUGGUGGGGUAAAGGCUCACCAAGCCGACGAUCUGUAGCUGGUCUGAGAGGACGACCAGCCACACUGGGACUGAGACACGGCCCAGACUCCUACGGGAGGCAGCAGUGGGGAAUUUUGGACAAUGGGCGAAAGCCUGAUCCAGCCAUGCCGCGUGCAGGAUGAAGGCCUUCGGGUUGUAAACUGCUUUUGUACGGAACGAAAAGCCUCUUUCUAAUAAAGAGAGGUCAUGACGGUACCGUAAGAAUAAGCACCGGCUAACUACGUGCCAGCAGCCGCCGUAAGAC